GAUAACAUUCUGAAGUUUUCUUUACUUUAAAGAGGCACUUUAAUUAUGCCUUAAUUCUAAUCGUUUUACAUAUAGUUCUAUAAUUGAAAAUAGAUUUUCGAAAAGGAUGGAGUCCCCCUCACAUGCUUCUGCAACUAUUUACUUAACAUUCUGCUCAACAAACGGUCACACUGCUGUUAUAAUCCUAAUUGCUUACUAAGAACUUAAUAGUCCAACUGACGGCUCAACCAACUGAUUCUCCAGGACCUCAAAUACUUUCCAUCAGUAGCAUGCGACACAUGAUGAGUCCUGCUGAACCGGGAGGCUGGUCACCUCAACUAUUUCGACUAAAGAACUUGGAACAAAUAGAGAAGAUGGAAGAGGAAAUGAAUGAUCCCAUCAAAUCAUUGAUUUAAGUAAAUUUAAACAUUCAGUUUGAGCAUUCUUUAUAAAGUGUUUUCUAUUACCUAGAUUCAAACCAUGCGAAACAUUUUGAAACCCGGUGGUUCGGUGGGUCACCCCGACCUGGAGGUUUCAAAAAACAAUUUCAUCUUAUACUCGCCCUAGACUUUUUGGUUGAUUUCAAUUUUGACGGCAUCCACAAUAAAAUACAUCUCAAGGAGUUUGGAAAUUUCAACAACGCUUUGUUUAUAGCACAUACAUAUACAUAUAUGACUUCUUUUUUAAAUUAAAAUUCAUUAAAUUUCAGAAGCUCAAAAGCAGGUAGAAUAUUUUAGAGAUGACUACGUCGCUGAAAUCAGACUGGCGUUCCGAGUUUACAAAAAUCUCAGGCAUAAAAGUGCAUCAGAUACUCGGAAAAAAAUUAAAGAAGCCAC
rnacentral:lncRNA from 1 species